GUUUUAGCAGUUCUAUUUCAUUAAAUAUGUCUUAAGUUUACAAUCGAUUUGACAUUACUAAAAAUAAAUGCGACUUGCCCAGAAAGUGUCCACAAAUGAUGUUCAUUCCAAUCGACAAUAAUUGUUGCCUUUCAAUUAUUAGUUUUAUGAAAUGAUAUUAUUCGGGUAUUUAAGAUAGACAGUUUUCAACCACAUGUCAAACUACAUGUACAAGUCGUGGGGAGUUUAAGCCAUCACAUUUAUCAUAUAUUCUAGUUUUUAGUCGUCACUGUCAAGGAAAACAUCAAGAAAUGAAGAGGCCUUUACUAUUUUUGCACUAAGUAUUAUUAAUCUUAUGUAGACUGGGAUACAAGUAAAAAGUAAGAUCACAAAAAUACU
rnacentral:lncRNA from 1 species